CCACACCACUGCCCCCCACCCCCUACUGCACCCAGUGCCGGGGUAACAGACAUGAGCCAUGGUGCCCAGCUGGGCGCUGAGGAUCUGGACCUAAUAAGCCAUCCUCCAGCCAACCCACUUUCAAUAUACAGAGUAGCAGAGCAUUCUGAAUUUCAUCCUUUUGGCUCAAUACGACUUGGAGGUGGUUCCAGGUAAGUGCAUUGACAUUGAGCCCUUGGGAGUAGGGAAAAAGAAAAGUUCCUGAAAAAGAGAGGCUGGUGCUGUGCUCCAUAUUCUAGCACUGGAGGAGACAGACAAGCAGAUCCCUGGGACUCAGUGGCCUAAGUGACAAGCUCCAGGCCAAGAAGGGACAAUCUCUAAAGAAUGACACCCCAAAAUUAGCCUGUACAUGCACAUACACACAUGAGAAAGAGAGAGAGAGAGAGAGAGAGAGAGAGAGAGGGAGAGAGAGAGAGAGAGAGAGCUUUCUUCUACUGCUUUCUUUACACCGAACUCUGUUAUUUCCAGUUCUUCUGGUCCAGGGUCCAGUCCUAAGAAUGAUAGAUAACAUCAAGGCCCUGAGCCAAAAACUCAGUAAACUCAAAGCUGAGGCUUAGAUUUACAUACUAAUUGGACCUUAUUUGCAUGUCCCUGGCGCCUACCAGAGUAACCUCCUGCAGCAGCUAGGUUAGAGGUGAGAUGGUUGGGGGAGGGGGCUGCCAGAGCUUGGCCCUGAGGCUAGCUCUUAAUAAUGCACUUCAAACAAGGCUAUUUGUGCUCUGCCUGGCAAGAAGGGAGGGAGCUAGCCUCUCUCUGUGUGGCCUUGGAUUCCCAAAGGGCCUGUCUGUUCCCCUCUCACCUGUCCCCCACUCUUAGAGAUCACAAGUUCAGGCCCCUACCCUGGCCCCAACAAAGAGCCAACAAAGUCUGAGCCAUGAUGAACUGCCAGGGAAGCCCUUGGGAUUCAAGAGACUGGGCAGCCAUUUGAACACACAGCAUCCAUGGAGGCCAAUUUUUCCCCGGGUGAGGCCAGCCAUUCAUUGCAAAGAGGCACAAAACCCUGGGAACUCGGCAACUGUGCUUAGACUCGGACAUGUACCUGUUCCACUACAUUCCAGCUGUUUGUAACAGCCUCAUCAGAGCAGGGCAUGGAAUUCUCUCGGUGGCCCUAGAAGCCCAGUUCUACUAUUCUCCGUAACCUAAGAAAAAAGGGGAAUCCUGCCUAGGGUCCCAGAGCGGCAAGGCAAGCCAGAUCUGAAGGUGGGAGGCUGAUGCUCUCUCCGACGCCCUCUGUGGAUGGAACACCCUCUGUGCACCCUGAUGUGCCUUGCUCGGGCGGAGGCAGCAGUGAAACACACAGAAGAGGACUCAGUCCCACCUCAGGGAGCUCGGAGCCUGGAGGGAAGUGCUGAUGCAAAUGAGCAGCACACACCAAGUUGGUAAAGCUCAUUACAUUUAAAGGAAGGUCAAGAAUGAACCAAAGUCAUCUGUGGGGACAAAGGGGUGUCAAUCUUGGAGAGGCCCCGGAAACCUCUGCAGCACUGGAAAGGGUCCUGACCUUUCUCUAAACAUCUGAGAUGCCCAGGUAGGAAGUCAGCACGCAGGCACAAACAACAGAAACCUUUCAAGGAACUAGGAACACGCACAUGUCUGGAGCUGGCAGCUUUAUGUCAGUAUGCCUGCUGGAGGAGAGACUGCACGGAUCGAAAAUCUCCAUCACCCUAGUCCACACCAGCCAGUAGCUUCCAGAGCCUGAGAUGCCCAGCUGACCACAAAGGGGCAGAAACCAGGACCAGCAAAGCCUGAUUCACUUACAAAUCAUAAACAAAUGGCAAGUGGUUCUUCUAAUCCACUAAGUUGCUAGAGGGUUUUCUGCAGAACGACUGUGGCGGUAGAUGAGUGCUGCCAUGGGGUUGCAGGACCCCUGCGCCUCACACAGCUGGGGAGGGAGUUAAAUGUGGUUCUAUGUCAAAGUGCUUACUGAAUGCUCAACCCCAGGCAACAUUCCAUGAAUGUCUAUUAUUUUUGGUGUGAGAUGCUGUGUACCAUGUGGAGAUCAAAACCAUGACUUGCCUCCACCUGAGCAUCCAGUCAGCUGCUUAUGAAACAUAUGUUGCCCACCUACAGGAACCUAGGCCCUGCAGAGAAUUUCUGACAAACACUUGUUAAAGUUAUAUCAUCAGUGGGCACUCUCAGAAAGUAGCUAAGAGGAGGUGUGUGGGGUUUGGUAGACAUAUGGUCAUGUUGGACUCACCUACCAAAUAUGGGCAACCUGCCACAAGAGAGCACAAUGUCUUUUUUGAAGAGAAACUUGGUGUACCCAGCUUCCUGAAGGAUGUUCUAGCUCGCCUCUAGAAAAUGCUGGGCUUUCCUGUAGCUGAACUUGAGGGUGGAAGCAGUUGCCUUUGGAGGCCAUCCUUACACCCACAGCAAACCACUUGGAGCUCAAUGGGUCCUGAAGGGUUGCCAUGCUUCUUGGCUCUCACUGAAAUUCUAAUUUCAGUCUCUGCCAUGGAGACUGUAAUACCAGCACUGGGAAGGAAGGGUGAGGCAGAAAGAACUUGACUUUAAGGUCAGCCUGGGCUACAUCUCAAGGCCCUGCUCAAAAACCAACCAACCAACCAACAAAUCAACCAACCAACCAACCAAAAAAACCUAACUUGAUACAUGACUCAUGGAUUUUUUUUGCACCAAUACAACAGGUUAUAUGUACAAGAAUUUUUAUUUUUGUAUCUUGUUUGUACUGGCAAAAACUGAAAGCAGCCAAAACUCCCACCAAUAAGACAUAGUUGAAACUGUGAUAUUCAUAUACCUACAGAUUACUAUAUAUUUCUAUUUUAAAAUAAACUGAAUUUAUUUUUUGCCCUAUGGGGUUUAUUUCUAUGACACUUUUUUUGUUUUGUUUUUUGUUGUUUUGUUUUUGUUUUUUGUAUUUUGUUUUUUCGAGACAAAAUACAAAUAUUCUCUGUAUAGCCCUGGCUGUCCUGGAACUCACUUUGUAGACCAGGCUGGCCUCAAACUCAGAAAUCCGCCUGCCUCUGCCUCCCAAGUGCUGGGAUUAAAGGCAUGUGCCACCACUGCCCAGCCGACACAUUUUUUAAAAAGAAUUAUUUUAUGUGUAUGGUUUUCUGCCUGUAUGUAUCUGUGUCCCCAUGUGUGUCUGGUGUCCACAGAGCCAGAAGAGGGAGUUGAACCCUCUGGAAUUGGAGUUACAAAUGGUUGAAACCAGCAUGUAGGUACAGGAACUCAAACAUGGGACCUCUGCAAGAGCAGCCAGUGCUCUCAACCACUGAGCCAACUCUCCAGCUCCCUUAUGAUAUAUUUAUUGUUAAGAGAGAAUCUAACUGUACUAAUAACUAAUAAUCUUAACUUAAAAAACCACUUAAGUGUUUAAAUAUGAAUGUGGUUUAUGCAUGUGUGGAGAAGGUAUAGAAGACAACUACGCAUAGGAUUAGACAAGGCCUGCGGGGGGAAGAACUAUUACAGCGGGUUCCUGUACACCCCCCCUUCUUCUCUUUUCUAACCUAAGACUCCACUUCCUCCCAUCCACUACACACAGGAUUUUUUCAUUUGAGAGUAAGUUACAUGUGCCAUAGCACUUUACCUCUAGAUGUUUCUGGGAAAGUUUCCUAAGUGUGAAGACAUUCUAUCACAUAACCACAGCACAGCAUCAACCUCAUUAAACUGAACUCACACUAGGUUUGUUUGUCAUCACAAGAGAACUGAUUUAGAAAUCAGAAGAGGCCGGGUGUGGUGGCGCACACCUUUAGUCCCAGCACUCGGGAGGCAGAGGCAGAGGUAGGCAGAUUUCUGCCUUUCCAUUCAUUUAUUUUGGAGGUGUGUACUUGAAAUGUAUCAUAUAUACACACAGAGAUCAGGGAACAACUUGUAGAAGUUGGCUCAAAUCUGUUUACAUCUUUUCGAUCCUGGAAAGCAAUCACGACCACGGGCUUGCUUGCCAUCAAGGGCAUUCGUCCGCUACUCUGUCCUGCUGGCCUGAGCAGGGAGGAAAGGGACAAAGACUAAUAAGCAGCUUCUCCCGGGAGAAGAGACAUGAAGGGUGGUCCCUCUGCUCUCUCUGAGCAAGGGACAAAAGCUGAAGUCCUGGGGCUGCUGGGUCCCGACCCCUUUGGGAGUCAAACAACCCUUUCACAGGGGUCACACAUCAGUUAUCUACAUCACAAUUCUUAGCAGUAGCAAAACAUUAGGAAGGUUGAGAGCCACUGGCUUAGAAUCGAGCUUUGAGCUUGUAUCCCAUUGCUUGCUGACCGGGCCAUGCUGGUUAUUGUGCAAGCCCCUAUCUUGUCUCUUCCUUCCCAGCCCUGGGUUCACAAGUGUGCACCACUACAGUCAGCUUACUACAUUGGCAGUGGAGCUAGAACUCAGGUCCUCGUGCUGUAGGCAAACACUUUACUGACUGCACUACCUCCAUCUUCCCAGACUGUGGCACCUUUCAGAUGUGACAUGUACCUUAAUUUAUAAAUGAACACUGCUGGCAGUUAGAAACUAGCAAUAAAAUGUACACAUGCUCUGACCUAAGAACUCCACUUCUGGGAAUCCAUACAGAAGUAAAAAGCCCAAUCCAUAGUGAAAAAACAAGUACAAUGGGCUGGUGAGAUGGCUCAGUGGGUAAGAGCACCCGACUGCUCUUCCGAAGGUCUGAAGUUCAAAUCCCAGCAACCACAUGGUGGCUCACAACCAUCUGUAACAAGAUCUGACGCCCUCUUCUGGGGUGUCUGAAGACAGCUACAGUGUACUUACAUAUAAUAAAUAAAUAAAUCUUAAAAAAAAAAAAAACAAGUACAAAUAUGUUAACUGCAAUACACAUGUGUGUAUACAUUAUGUGUGUGUGUGUGUUAAAUAAAUUCAAGUGCCUGACACUGGGUUGAAGGUAGAUAUCAGGAAGGCAAUUAGAGGCCGACAUAGCAACUUGAGAGAGCUACCCAAGGAAGAAUGGCAAGUGUCCUAGAACAUUUAGGACAAGAUGCCAGACUGGGUGACUGAAGCCACAGACAUUUGUAGGAACUUCAUGUUUGAGAUGUACCGUCUGAGGAGGGCUUACUCACUGCUUCAGUGACAGAACCAACCCAGUGUCCUCUGUCCCAGGGGGGAGGGGGGAAGGAAAACCCAUCUGUUUAUUUGUUGGGACAAGGGUCUUGACCCAGCCUGGCCUUGGGGUUAUUGGCACACACCACCAUGCUCUGCUGUGUUGUCCUGAUCUCACAAUCUCUGAGAAAUCCAUCUCUCUCUCUCUUUUUUUUUUUUUUUGGUUUUUCGAGACAGGGUUUCUCUGUGUAGCCCUGGCUGUCCUGGAACUCACUCUGUAGACCAGGCUGGCCUCGAACUCAGAAAUCUGCCUGCCUCUGCCUCCCAAGUGCUGGGACUAAAGGCGUGCACCACCAUGCCCGACAAUCCAUCUCUUAAUAUCAUAAAAUGUGAUUUGUUGUAGGGAGCACAGGCAUCAAGAACAUAUUGGGAGUGAGCGGGGGGGGGGGGGCAGGGAAAAGGAAUAUUUAGUGACAAAACUUGGCUAGCACAAGCCAAGUCCUGGCUGGAGUUCCCAGUGCAGCUAACACAUUCAGCUACCUGAACACAGCAUUAGAGCCUUGCUGCUUCUCCACCUGCCUUCUUCUCGGUCCCUUCCCUUUUUCCUUUUGAUAGCCACGGCUUGUGCUACAGUGCAGUGGUCUCCCUAGAGUCAGCACAACAUGUACAAACCCUAUACAUGCAAUGUACUUGAGGCUGUGACCAGAGCUUCCAUAGGCCUAUCUGACCCUCAUAGCCCACUCUACUGACUACCCAGGCAGCCUGGCAAACCUUAGCCGGACACUCCAUCUUUGUCCCAGUCCUGACCCCGUGGGCAGUGCAGGGCCAGAAACAGCUCAUGUGCUCACUCCUUACGGGAUCCCUAGGUGAGCUGCCAGGUCGCUUUGCACAGGUCCAAGGAGCCGGUACGUAGGAGCUGAGGUUGGAAAGCAAACACAGGCCUCCCUCCAGCUUCUUAGCUAAGCUACUAUCCAUCUUGCUCCUCAGCUCACAGAAACCAAAAUUUUCUAGUUUUACUUAUUUUUGCAGGGGUCCUCUUAACACAGGGAACCCUGUAAACAAUGGAGGACUCUAAAUAUUAAGAGUUUUCUUCACUUAUCCAGGCAGAGAGGAGGAGGUGGGCAUGAUGUGACAAUCUGUGAUAAAUAGAAAUGUUCUAGGCAAGAAGAAGAGUGAACAGAGCAAGCGGCAAAGCUCAGCUGGCUCUGCUGGCCCAGUGCCUGAGGCAGCACCGCCUCCCGGCUCAGCCAAGGCAUGAGCAGUUCUGAGCACAGACCCCUCUCCAGGUGCAGUCAGAGCAAGUAAGACUGCUGUGGCUUUUGACACCAGUGUGCUAAGCUUUGAGAGGAAGUUCUGA